CGGUGGUUAUAGCCAUCAUAUAUUAGAACUAAAGAUUGCCCUUAGUAUUCCGGUUGUCCAUCACUAAGUAUUAAAAACUGCCCCAGGUGGUUGCAGUCAUCAUUUAUAAGAAUUUAUGAAUACCUAUGGUGGUCAAAAUCUUAAUAUAAAGGAAAAACAUAUUUCCUCUAAUUGACUUUUUUCAAUUAUAAUUUAGAGUUGCCUCUGGUGAUUGCGUUCUUCGUCUGUGUAUACAAAAGAUUGUCUCUGAUGUUCGUGUUCUGCAACUGGUCAGAACCAAAUGAUUAUCAUAUCUAUAGAAACUUCACAUAACAUCAUUCCUGCUAAGAUUGUUGAAAUUGUUAAAGACGUUCUAUGAUAUAAUAGGAAUUGCUUGCCCCCAAUGUUGCCAUGUUUGCGAUCAAAUACCUAUCAUGCACAUUUACAAAGAGUCUUUAAAUGAUAAAUUU
rnacentral:lncRNA from 1 species